rnacentral:rRNA from 1 species
UCGGGAAUCUUGGGCAAUGGGCGCAAGCCUGACCCAGCAACGCCGCGUGAGGGAUGAAGGCCCUCGGGUCGUAAACCUCUGUCGAGAGGGAAGAAAGUCACGGGGUGAAUAUCCUCGUGAUCUGACGGUACCUCCAAAGGAAGCGCCGGCUAACUCCGUGCCAGCAGCCGCGGUAAUACGGAGGGCGCAAGCGUUGUUCGGAAUCAUUGGGCGUAAAGCGGGUGUAGGCUGCUUGACAAGUCGGGUGUGAAAUCCCAGGGCCCAACCCUGGAACUGCACUCGAAACUGUCUCGCUAGAGUCCCGGAGAGGAUGGCAGAAUUCCCGGUGUAGAGGUGAAAUUCGUAGAUAUCGGGAGGAAUACCAGUGGCGAAGGCGGCCAUCUGGACGGUGACUGACGCUGAGACCCGAAAGUGUGGGGAGCAAACAGGAUUAGAUACCCCCGUAGUCC